rnacentral:rRNA from 1 species
GAUGAACGCUGGCGGCGUGCUUAACACAUGCAAGUCGAACGGUGAAGCAGGAGCUUGCUCUUGUGGAUCAGUGGCGAACGGGUGAGUAACACGUGAGCAACCUGCCCUUGACUCUGGGAUAAGCGCUGGAAACGGCGUCUAAUACUGGAUAUGUGAUGUGACCGCAUGGUCUGCAUUUGGAAAGAAUUUCGGUUGGGGAUGGGCGCGGGGCCUAUCAGCUUGUUGGUGAGGGGAUGGCUCACCAAGGCGUCGACGGGUAGCCGGGUUGAGAGGGUGCCCGGCCUGGCUGGGGCAGCUACACGGGCCAGAGUCCUUAGGGAUGCAUGAGUGGGGAAUAAUGCACAAUGGGCGGCAGCCUGAUUCAGGAACGCCGAGUGAGGGAUUACUGUGUUCGGGUUGUAAACAUUUUUUAGCAGGGAAGAAACGGAAGUGACGGUACCUGCAGAAAAAGCACCGGCUAACUACGUGCCAGCCGCCGCAGUAA